CUUAAUUUGUGGGUAAUAAGUAUGUUUUGAUUAUUUUUUGAAUUUGAUAUUUGAGUUUAAAACUUUGUUUGCCACUGAAAGGAAUGAUAAACUAGUGGAUAUUUCGGGACAGUGUGUGUGUGUGUGUCUUUUCGGUAUUUCAACAUAAUGUUCCCCAAAGCAUCAGGAUGGGCUGGAGUUUGGGGGAAUUAAACAACUUACAAUUUUCCCCACGAAGUUCCAUCUCCAGUUUUUAUCCAAAGGUUACUUGAGAUCCCUUCAAGAUGGAAGACUUUCGAAACGUCGUCCUCUACACUUGUAUUUUUUACAAGAGGCAGUUGUCGUCCAUUCCAGUUUACUCAUCAUGAAUACUCUGCCUAAACAAUCUAUCAAAGUAUAUUAACAUAAUUAUAACUAAUUUAAAAUAAGUCUGAUGUUUGCACUCUUAUGUUUAUUAACACACUUAUAAUGGGAUUAAAUAGUCAAAAACAUAACCCGUGUUUGCCAUCUUAUAUAUAAUAACUCACUUUUAACGGGAAUAAAUAAUUAAAAACAAAGCCCAUGUUUCCA